rnacentral:rRNA from 1 species
UACGAAGGGGGCUAGCGUUGUUCGGAAUUACUGGGCGUAAAGCGCGCGCAGGCGGCUAUCCAAGUCAGUGGUGAAAUCCUGGAGCUCAACUCCAGAACUGCCUUCGAUACUGGAAGACUUGAGUCCGGGAGAGGUGAGUGGAACUGCGAGUGUAGAGGUGAAAUUCGUAGAUAUUCGCAAGAACACCAGUGGCGAAGGCGGCUCACUGGCCCGGUACUGACGCUGAGGUGCGAAAGCGUGGGGAGCAAACAGG